UGGCAAUACAAUGUUGAAACACUAGUUCCCACAUGAUCAUUGAACUUAAGCAACAUAGAACCUAGUCAGUACCUAGAUGGGUGACCAUUUAGGAAUACCAGGUGCUGUAAG